GUCGCCUAACUCUGUGAGGAGAAGGUUCUGGCAGGCCAUCCUACUCCUUUGGUCCACGGUUCGAGUCCGUGUGGGCCCACCA
rnacentral:tRNA from 1 species